UAACUCACCUGUUCACCUGUCCCCGCAGCUGCAGCGCGCCGUGGGCCCCGAGAUCACCAAGAGCGACCUGGUGGGGGCGUUCCAGAGCCUGAUGAAGGACUGCGAGGCCGAGGUCCGGGCGGCCGCGUCGCACAAGGUCAAAGAGUUCUGCGAGAAUCUCUCCCCCGACUGCCGCGAGGCCGUGAUCAUGGGCCAGAUCCUGCCCUGCAUCAAGGAGCUGGUGUCCGAUGCCAACCAACACGUGAA